rfam:Schistosoma mansoni, Puerto Rico, WGS project CABG01000000 data, contig: 0470
AUCCAGCUGACGAGUUCCAAAUAGGAUGAAACGCGCUUCCGGGAU